CACGGUGCUGACAAGAAAAGUCCAGAUUAAACUGCAGCUUCCUGCGUCUGGCUGUUUAUCCCAAGAGGCCGCUGUUUGAACCUCUACACAUUUUAUCAGAAAUAUUUCUACAGGUGAAGCUAGAAAGUGUGUGUGAGCUGAUGUGGAUUCAGCAGCAUGGAUCAGUGUGAGGACAGAGAGGAGGGAGUCCCUCCCUCUAAAACCACUCUGUGUGGGGAAGAUGAGAGCCAGAGCAAAGGUCAGAGGAUCCAUCAGAGACUCAAACCAGAACCAGAACCAGAACCCAGCUGUGUGUCCUUUAAGAGUGACAGGUCAAAG